rnacentral:rRNA from 1 species
UCGAACGCGAAAGUUUUCUUCGGAAAGCGAGUAGAGUGGCGCACGGGUGAGUAACGCGUAAGUAAUCUACCCUGGUAUCCGGGAUAACUAACCGAAAGGUUGGCUAAUACCGGAUACGCUGAUGUAUCAGGAAAGGUGGCCUCUUCAUGAAAGCUACUGUACCAGGAGGAGCUUGCGUACCAUUAGCUAGUUGGUAGGGUAAUGGCCUACCAAGGCGACGAUGGUUAGCGGGUCUGAGAGGAUGAUCCGCCACACUGGAACUGGAACACGGACCAGACUCCUACGGGAGGCAGCAGUGAGGAAUAUUGCGCAAUGGGGGAAACCCUGACGCAGCGACGCCGCGUGGAUGAUGAAGGCCUUCGGGUCGUAAAAUCCUGUCAGAUGGAAAGAAGUGCAUGUGUGCUAAUACCACAUAUGUUUGACGGUACCAUCAAAGGAAGCACCGGCUAACUCCGUGCCAGCAGCCGCGGUAAUACGGAGGGUGCAAGCGUUGUUCGGAAUUACUGGGCGUAAAGCGCGCGUAGGCGGUUUUAUAAGUCAGAUGUGAAAGUCCACGGCUCAACCGUGGAAGUGCAUUUGAAACUGUACUACUUGAGUACUGGAGGGGGUGGUGGAAUUCCCGGUGUAGAGGUGAAAUUCGUAGAUAUCGGGAGGAAUACCGGUGGCGAA